rnacentral:rRNA from 1 species
UAGGGAAUCUUCGGCAAUGGACGAAAGUCUGACCGAGCAACGCCGCGUGAGUGAAGAAGGUUUUCGGAUCGUAAAACUCUGUUGUUAGAGAAGAACAAGGACGUUAGUAACUGAACGUCCCCUGACGGUAUCUAACCAGAAAGCCACGGCUAACUACGUGCCAGCAGCCGCGGUAAUACGUAGGUGGCAAGCGUUGUCCGGAUUUAUUGGGCGUAAAGCGAGCGCAGGCGGUUUCUUAAGUCUGAUGUGAAAGCCCCCGGCUCAACCGGGGAGGGUCAUUGGAAACUGGGAGACUUGAGUGCAGAAGAGGGGAGUGGAAUUCCAUGUGUAGCGGUGAAAUGCGUAGAUAUAUGGAGGAACACCAGUGGCGAAGGCGGCUCUCUGGUCUGUAACUGACGCUGAGGCUCGAAAGCGUGGGGAGAAAACAGG